CCUACGGGUGACAGCAGUGAGGAAUAUUGGUCAAUGGUCGAGAGUCUGAACCAGCCAAGUAGCGUGAAGGAUGACUGCCCUAUGGGUUGUAAACUUCUUUUAUAUGGGAAUAAAAUGUUCCACGUGUGGGAUUUUGUAUGUACCAUAUGAAUAAGGAUCGGCUACCUCCGUGCCAGCAGCCGCGGUAAUACGGAGGAUCCGAGCGUUAUCCGGAUUUAUUGGGUUUAAAGGGAGCGUAGGUGGAUUGUUAAGUCAGUUGUGAAAGUUUGCGGCUCAACCGUAAAAUUGCAGUUGAAACUGGCAGUCUUGAGUACAGUAGAGGUGGGCGGAAUUCGUGGUGUAGCGGUGAAAUGCUUAGAUAUCACGAAGAACUCCGAUUGCGAAGGCAGUUCACUGGACUGCAACUGACACUGAGGCUCGAAAGUGUGGGUAUCAAACAGGAUUAGAUACCCUUGUAGUC
rnacentral:rRNA from 1 species